rnacentral:rRNA from 1 species
UACGAAGGGGGCUAGCGUUGCUCGGAAUGACUGGGCGUAAAGGGCGCGUAGGCGGAUGGCACAGUCAGAUGUGAAAUUCCCGGGCUUAACCUGGGGGCUGCAUUUGAUACGUGUUGUCUUGAGUUCGGAAGAGGGUCGUGGAAUUCCCAGAGUAGAGGUGAAAUUCGUAGAUAUUGGGAAGAACACCGGUGGCGAAGGCGGCGACCUGGUCCGGUACUGACGCUGAGGUGCGAAAGCGUGGGGAGCAAACAGG